AGGGGUUGUUUUUACACAACCCACCCCAUCUCUGUGACUGGUCAAAUAUUAAAAGUAGGGGGGCUCAAGCCCUCUGACUGCAUGAGGCCUAAACGUGUGGCCUGAGGGUCUACACAGCCCAGCUCUCUGACUGCCUGAGACCUAAACGUGUGGCCUGAGGGUCUACACAGCUCAGCCCAUCCCUGUCUCUGCCAGAGGUCUGAAUGUGGGGUGUCUACAUUGUCCAGCCAAGCCCAUACUCCUAACUGCUUGAGGCCCAAAUGGUGUCAGGGGUCUACACAGCCCAGCCCAGUCCACCUUCUGACUACCUGAGGCUCAAUGUGGUGGUGAGGCCCACUACUCCUUCUGCUGCCUGAGGCCUGGAUGUGGUGCUGGUGGGGUCUACAUAGCCUAGCCCUUCUGUCUGACUGCCUGAGGCUUGGAUGCGGUGGUUGGUGAUCCUACAUAGCCCAGCCCUUCUGACUGCCCGAGGCCUAAAAGGUGGUGAUGAGGAGCAAGUCAGCUGAUAACUGUACAGAUCACAGGUUACACCUCGAGGAUCUGUAUGAAUGGGGAUUGAUUGGAAUGUCAAUUCUUGUAUUGAUAAUUAGGGAAGGGUUUUCUUAUUAUAAGAAAAAUGUAUUGUAAUAUAUUUAUAAUGUACAUUUUAUUACUAUGUAUUUUUUAAUUGUAUACAUAUAUUCAUUGGUAUUAAUUUAGUUCUAUUAUAGCCUCCAUUAUAUAUAUAUUGGGAGGCACUAUGGGGGUCAUUCCGAGUUGAUCGCUCGCUAGCAGUUUUUAGCAGCCGUGCAAACGCUAUGCCGCCACUCACUGGGAGUGUAUCUUAACAUAGCAGAAGUGCGAACGAAAGGAUCGCAGAGCGGCGGCAAAGUUUUUUUGUGCACUUUUAGAGUAGCUCAAUACCUACUCAGCGCUUGCGAUCACUUCAGACUGUUCAGUUCCUGUUUUGACGUCGCAAACACGCCCUGCGUUCGCCCAGCUACGUCUGCGUUUUUCCUGGCAUGCCUGCAUUUUUCCGAACACUCCCUGAAAACGGUCAGUUGCCACCCAGAAACGCCCUCUUCCUGUCAAUCACUCUGUGGCCAGCAGUGCGACUGAAAUGCUUCGCUAGACCCUGUGUGGUACUACAUCAUUCGUUGUAAUAGUACGACGCGCGUGCACAUUGCGCCGCAUACGCAUGUGCAGAAGUGCCGAUUUUUUUGCCUCAUCGCUGCACAGCGAACGAAUGCAGCUAGCGAACAACUCGGAAUGACCACCUAUGUGAUAGACUCUAGUCUAGUGUAUUUAGUUCCUCUUCACCAUGUCAGAAUGGAUGUGUGUGAGAAAUCAGCGCCACCCGUUCAUCGUGAUUGAAUUUGGACGGAUCCAAUCAAAAAAUCCCCACGGGUAUAUAUGUGAAGAUUUGGACCUCCUACAGCAGCUCUUGAGAAAGAGUGCGGAUCCCUGAAACGCGUUGAUGCUGGAGGUUUUGUGAGCAGUUCCAGGAGAGAAGUAUCACCUAUCCGCACGUCUGACGCUGUUGCCGGUACAGCGGACUGAGACAUUCCGGGCGUCUCAGUAGUGAAGCGCAGCCUCAUCCAGGAAGGGGUACGAGUUCUGCUGUUCUGUGAACUUACCUUUCUUACUCUGUUGAAUAAACUCCCUGACGGGAUUUUUUUUACCUUUUA